UUUCCGUAGGUGAACCUGCGGAAGGAUCAUUAUUGAAAUAAACCUGAUGGGUUGUUGCUGGUUCUCUAGGGAGCAUGUGCACGCCUUGUCAUCUUUAUAUCUCCACCUGUGCACUUUUUGUAGACCCUUCCAGGUCUAUGUUGCUUCAUUUACCCCCAAUGUAUAUUAAUAGAAUGUUGCGCCUAUAUAAUAUAUACAACUUUCAGCAACGGAUCUCUUGGCUCUC
rnacentral:misc_RNA from 1 species